rnacentral:rRNA from 1 species
UACGUAGGGUGCGAGCGUUAAUCGGAAUUACUGGGCGUAAAGCGUGCGCAGGCGGUUCGUUAAGUCGGAUGUGAAAGCCCCGGGCUCAACCUGGGAACUGCAUUUGAAACUGGCGGGCUUGAGUGCGGCAGAGGGGGGUGGAAUUCCGCGUGUAGCAGUGAAAUGCGUAGAGAUGCGGAGGAACACCGAUGGCGAAGGCAGCCCCCUGGGCCGACACUGACGCUCAGGCACGAAAGCGUGGGGAGCAAACAGG